GACGAACGCUGGCGGCGUGCUUAACACAUGCAGGUCGAGCGGAAAGGCCACUUCGGUGGUACUCGAGCGGCGAACGGGUGAGUAACACGUGAGUAAUCUGCCCUUCACUCUGGGAUAGCCACCGGAAACGGUGAUUAAUACCGGAUACGACCACUCCACGCAUGUGGUGGUGGUGGAAACUUUUUGGGUGGGGGAUGUGCUCGCGGCCUAUCAGCUUGUUGGUGGGGUAAUGGCCUACCAAGGCUUCGACGGGUAGCCGGCCUGAGAGGGUGACCGGCCACACUGGGACUGAGACACGGACCAGACUCCUACGGGAGGCAGCAGUGGGGAAUAUUGGACAAUGGGCGGAAGCCUGAUCCAGCAACGCCGCGUGAGGGAUGACGGCCUUCGGGUUGUAAACCUCUUUCAGCACCGACGAAGCGCAAGUGACGGUAGGUGCAGAAGAAGGACCGGCCAACUACGUGCCAGCCGCCGCUGUAA
rnacentral:rRNA from 1 species